CCUANGGGCGGCAGCAGUAAGGAAUAUUGGACAAUGGGCGCAAGCCUGAUCCAGCCAUGCCGCGUGAAGGAUGAAGGCCCUAUGGGUCGUAAACUUCUUUUAUACGGGACAAAACCCCCCGAUGCGUCGGGGGUUGAUGGUACUGUAAGAAUAAGGGUCGGCUAACUUCGUGCCAGCAGCCGCGGUAAUACGAAGGACCCGAGCGUUAUCCGGAUUUAUUGGGUUUAAAGGGUGCGUAGGCGGAUUAGUAAGUCAGUGGUGAAAGCCCGUCGCUCAACGGCGGAACUGCCAUUGAUACUGCUAGUCUUGAGUAUGGUUGAGGUGGGCGGAAUGUGUCAUGUAGCGGUGAAAUGCUUAGAUAUGACCCAGAACACCAAUUGCGAAGGCAGCUCGCUAAGCCAUAACUGACGCUGAUGCACGAAAGCGUGGGGAGCAAACAGGAUUAGAUACCCCUNUANUC
rnacentral:rRNA from 1 species